rnacentral:rRNA from 1 species
AGCGAACGCUGGCGGCAGGCCUAACACAUGCAAGUCGAACGGAUCCUUCGGGAUUAGUGGCGGACGGGUGAGUAACACGUGGGAACGUGCCUUUCGGUUCGGAACAACUCAGGGAAACUUGAGCUAAUACCGGAUGUGCCCUUCGGGGGAAAGAUUUAUCGCCAUUAGAGCGGCCCGCGUCUGAUUAGCUUGUUGGUGAGGUAAAGGCUCACCAAGGCUACGAUCAGUAGCUGGUCUGAGAGGAUGAUCAGCCACACUGGGACUGAGACACGGCCCAGACUCCUACGGGAGGCAGCAGUGGGGAAUCUUGCGCAAUGGGCGAAAGCCUGACGCAGCCAUGCCGCGUGAAUGAUGAAGGUCUUAGGAUUGUAAAAUUCUUUCACCGGGGACGAUAAUGACGGUACCCGGAGAAGAAGCUCCGGCUAACUUCGUGCCAGCAGCCGCCGUAAGAC